rnacentral:rRNA from 1 species
UACGUAGGUGGCAAGCGUUGUCCGGAUUUACUGGGCGUAAAGGGCGUGCAGGCGGUCUGUUAAGUGCAGGGUGAAAGCUCCCGGCUCAACUGGGAGAGGUCCUUGCAUACUGGCGGACUUGAGGGGGGUAGAGGAAAGUGGAAUUCCCGGUGUAGUGGUGAUAUGCGUAGAUAUCGGGAGGAACACCUGUGGCGAAGGCGGCUUU